rnacentral:rRNA from 1 species
GAGUUUGAUCGUGGCUCAGGAUGAACGCUAGCGGCAGGCCUAAUACAUGCAAGUCGAACGGUAAGUAGAGUAGCAAUACUUUACCAAGAGUGACGUACGGGUGCGUAACACGUAUGCAACCUACCCAUAACAGGAGGAUAGCUCCCCGAAAGGGGAAUUAACCCUCCAUAGUAUAAUUGAGUGGCAUCAUUUGAUUAUUAAAACUCAGGUGGUUAUGGAUGGGCAUGCGUCUGAUUAGUUAGUUGGCGGUGUAACGGACCACCAAGACGAUGAUCAGUAGGGGAACUGAGAGGUUGAUCCCCCACACUGGCACUGAGAUACGGGCCAGACUCCUACGGGAGGCAGCAGUAGGGAAUAUUGGUCAAUGGAUGCAAGUCUGAACCAGCCAUGCCGCGUGCAGGAAGAAGGCCCUAUGGGUUGUAAACUGCUUUUGCCAGGGGAUAAAAUGGGCAUGCGUGCCUAAUUGAAGGUACCUGGUGAAUAAGCCACGGCUAACUACGUGCCAGCAGCC